rnacentral:rRNA from 1 species
GACGAACGCUGGCGGCGUGCUUAACACAUGCAAGUCGAACGAUGACGCCCGAGCUUGCUCGGUCUGAUUAGUGGCGAACGGGUGAGUAACACGUGAGCAACCUGCCCUUCACUCUGGGAUAACCUCGGGAAAUCGGGGCUAAUACCGGAUAUGAGCUCCUGUCGCAUGGCGGGUGUUGGAAAGUUUUUCGGUGAAGGAUGGGCUCGCGGCCUAUCAGUUUGUUGGUGAGGUAGUGGCUCACCAAGGCGAUGACGGGUAGCCGGCCUGAGAGGGCGACCGGCCACACUGGGACUGAGACACGGCCCAGACUCCUACGGGAGGCAGCAGUGGGGAAUAUCGCACAAUGGGCGAAAGCCUGAUGCAGCGACGCCGCGUGAGGGAUGACGGCCUUCGGGUUGUAAACCUCUUUCAGCAGGGAAGAAGCGAAAGUGACGGUACCUGCAGAAGAAGCGCCGGCUAACUACGUG